rnacentral:tRNA from 1 species
GCGGCAGCAGCUCAACGGCAGAGCACCGGCCUGGAUGGCCGGAGGUGCGGGUUCGAUGCCCGCCUACCGCUCCA